UCUCUCGUGGUAUAACGGCUGAAUUACACACACCAGAUAUUCUUUGGUUUUGCUUUCAUUGUGCGUGUGGGAUCUGGGUUCGAUUCCCAGCGAGAGAA